rnacentral:rRNA from 1 species
AGUGAACGCUGGCGGUAGGCCUAACACAUGCAAGUCGAACGGCAGCACAGUAAGAGCUUGCUCUUACGGGUGGCGAGUGGCGGACGGGUGAGGAAUACAUCGGAAUCUACUUUUUCGUGGGGGAUAACGUAGGGAAACUUACGCUAAUACCGCAUACGACCUACGGGUGAAAGCAGGGGAUCUUCGGACCUUGCGCGAUUGAAUGAGCCGAUGUCGGAUUAGCUAGUUGGCGGGGUAAAGGCCCACCAAGGCGACGAUCCGUAGCUGGUCUGAGAGGAUGAUCAGCGACACUGGAACUGAGACACGGUCCAGACUCCUACGGGAGGCAGCAGUGGGGAAUAUUGGACAAUGGGCGCAAGCCUGAUCCAGCCAUACCGCGUGGGUGAAGAAGGCCUUCGGGUUGUAAAGCCCUUUUGUUGGGAAAGAAAAGCAGCAGGUUAAUACCCCGCUGUUCCGACGGUACCCAAAGAAUAAGCACCGGCUAACUUCGUG